GAACGAGAAAGUUUCCUUCGGGAGCCCGGUAAAGUGGCGAACGGGUGAGUAAUGCAUGGAUAACCUACCUCUGAGAGGGGGACAACUUUCCGAAAGGGGAGCUAAUACCUCAUAAUGUUCGACGCCUGCGGGUGUUGAACCAAAGAUUGCCUCUGAUUCAAGCUUUCGCUCAGAGAGGGGUUCAUGUCCUAUUAGCUUGUUGGUGAGGUAAGAGCUCACCAAGGCGACGAUGGGUAGCCGGCCUGAGAGGGUGUCCGGCCACACUGGGACUGAGACACUGCCCAGACUCCUACGGGAGGCUGCAGUCGAGAAUCUUCCGCAAUGCGCGCAAGCGUGACUGAGCGACGCCGCGUGGGUGAUGAAGGCCUUCGGGUUGUAAAGCCCUGUUUCCCACGAAGAAAGUCAGGUGGUGAAUAGCCAUCCUGGUUGACGUCAGUGGGGGAGGAAGCACCGGCUAAAUACGUGCCAGCAGCCGCGGUAAUACGUAUGGUGCAAACGUUGUUCGGAAUCAUUGGGCAUAAAGAGCACGUAGGCGGUCUGGUAAGUCCGACUGUGAAAUCCCUCGGCUCAACCGAGGAACUGCAUCGGAUACUGCCGAACUAGAGUGCAGGAGGGGAGAGUGGAAUUCCUGGUGGAGCGGUGAAAUGCGUAGAUAUCAGGAGGAACGCCGGUGGCGAAAGCGACUCUCUGGUCUGUUACUGGCGCUGAGGUGCGAAAGCCAGGGGAGCGAACGGGAUUAGAUACCCCGGU
rnacentral:rRNA from 1 species